rnacentral:sRNA from 1 species
AUCUUUACAUUAGGGAUUUUCUUUACUCUCUGGGCGCCCGUGUUCCUGCACCAACUCUCCAGAUCCGGACAUCCACUUAAUGUCAGAUAGGAGACACUAUCAGGCAAUACCGUGCCAGUAUUGUCUAUUCUCAAGUUAGGAAUGUCGUGAAUUUCAACACAUCUAAGAGAUCCCAAGUUGCCCAAACCUGUUGGCAGAGCUUCCAGCUUGGUGCAAUGGCGAAGCUUGAAAUCCUUCAGUGAUUGCAAUCCCACAACAGAAAAUCGCUGGAGUUCUGUGCAGGAUGAUAUCUCAAGGAACUCAAGGGAAGAGAAACUUUCCCCCAUCCAUCCAGGAAAAUUUUCCCCAGGGUACCAAUCAACCCAUAGGCUCCUCAGCUUAGAAUGAGGACGGAGUGAUUCUAUAACCCGCAUGCUUUCAUCUACUGCUUGAUUAUUAUUGUAACUCCAUUGCAGCAUCAGAUUUUCAACAUAUUGCUUCUCACUCAACUUGGAUUCCCCCGCAUUCUCAUGGGUGGCAGAUUCCAAUUUCAGCAGGCAAAGUUCACCACGUAUAUUGAUGUCCUUCAAUUCCUUCAUGUUGCAGUAGCCCUCAGCAUCAGCAGUCACAGUAAAUCUGGAAAGUGUUUGAAGGGAAGUUAACUUGUCAAUCCCUCUUGGCAUUGGUAUUGGUACCAUUCUAUCCCAUUCAAGGUGCAAGUCUAGGUGACGUAAAUUAACUAACCGACUUAGCUCUUCAGGUAACUCAGUAAGACGGUAGCAUUCCCUGAGAUCUAGAGUCUGCAGGUUGAACAAGGUGCUAACUGAGUCAGGAAGCCUUUUAAUAAGUGUUUUGCGUAGGCCAAUGUAUCUAAGGUGUGUCAAGCAUCCAACUGACUCUGGCAACUCCUCUAGUUCACUGUUACUCAUUUCCAGUGUCCGUAAACAACUUAACUUGUGGAAAAGCUCUGAGGGAACACAUUUUAGAGAAAUCCUUACUUCAGUAGACAGUUUCAAUAUUCUUAUGUUUUCAUAGUUGCAGAUCAUAGUCAGCUCCGGGAGUUCAUCCUUUUGACACAGGAUAGAUACAUAUCGGACCAGGUCACGGUUUAUGCCACCCUGUAAGUUACCAGGCUCAAUACACAAACAUUCAGAUUUUGAAACAAGCGAUGCAAGCUCAUUCAUGAGGCUUGGCACCCUGUAUCUUUGAUUUGUUGAACUGCCAGAGGUUUCAAAGAAUGAUCUCCACAGAAGCUCAUCAAAAAAUCUUCCUGCUUCUGCCUCCAAACGCCUCCUAGCAUUGCACUGAAUCAGGCCUUCUGCAAUCCACAAUCUGAUCACCUCAUCCUUCUCAAAUUCAUGCCCAACAGGAAACAAGCAACAAAGGGUAAACAACUGCUUCAGAUGAUAUGGCAAGUGAUGAUAGCUUAUCUGCAAACUUGGCAAGAUCCUGUUGUUGUCUUCAUUAAGAAUCCGCAUUUGGUUUGAUAUAUUGAGCCAUUCUUCUUCCUCUCCAUUAGUAUCAGACAAAAGCAUCCCGAGUGAUUUGGCUGCUAAUGGGGAACCUCGACAGUCCGCUGCAAUCAUCCUCCCAGUUUUUGACAAGGCAUCAUUCUCCCUACCUUGCCCAUGCAAGAACGCAUACUUUUUUAGGAGAAGCCAGCAUUCUUCAUCAUCCAAACCCUUCAAAUGUACAGGGAGGAUUGUAGACGUCGUCCUCCUCCAAACUCUUUCAUUCCGAGUUGUUAUUAAAACCUUACUUCCCUUUUCCCCAGCAAGCAAUGGGCACCGCAGCAGUUCCCAGAAGUUAUAAUCCUCAGCCCAGAGAUUAUCAAUCACCAGUAAAAACUUGGUAGUGCUCAGGUGCUCCUGAAGCUGCUGCUGCAAUAUGUCCAAGCUCAAUGCAUCACAUUUUACUUUGGUGAUAGCUUCCAUGAUCAUCUUUGUAGCCUUUGUCACAUCACAUUUGUCAGACAAACAAACCCAGAUUCUAGUUGGAAAAGAACUCUGUACCUCAGCAUUGUUGUACACCAAGCGUGCCAACGUCGUCUUCCCAAUUCCUGCCGCGCCAUAAAUGGAGAUCACCGGCAGGGGGAUGGUGUGAUCCGACAAAAGUGCUUGUACAACCUCCUCCUUCUCCUUGGCACGACCGAAAAUCUGAGAGCUUUCAUCAUGGCAAGCCGCAACUUCAACAAACCGCGGCCGCUGUCCUGGCUGCGCCCUCCUCGCCGCAUCCCCGGGCUGGAACUUGAACCUCUUGCGGCCCCUAGCGAUCUCGUCGAGCCGUUCGUUGAUCUCGGUGAUCUUCGCGUCCAGCCCCCACCGCUGCCGGGGACCGAGCUGCAAAUUGAGCCAGGAGCGCUUCCGCUUCCGCGAUGGC